GAAUCUUGCGCAAUGGGCGAAAGCCUGACGCAGCAACGCCGCGUGAGUGAUGAAGGCCCUCGGGUCGUAAAGCUCUGUCAGAGGGGAAGAACACAAUGACGGUACCCUCAAAGGAAGCACCGGCUAACCCCGUGCCAGCAGCCGCGGUAAUACGGAGGGUGCAAACGUUGCUCGGAAUUAUUGGGCGUAAAGCGCGCGUAGGCGGCCGCAUAAGUCUGAUGUGAAAGCCCAGGGCUCAACCCUGGAAAGCCAUUGGAAACUGUGCGGCUUGAGAACAGGAGGGGUAGGUGGAAUUCCUGGUGUAGGAGUGAAAUCCGUAGAGAUCAGGAGGAACACCGGUGGCGAAGGCGACCUACUGGACUGGAUCUGACGCUGAGGCGCGAAAGCGUGGGGAGCAAACAG
rnacentral:rRNA from 1 species